UACGGAGGAUGCAAGCGUUAUCCGGAUUUAUUGGGUUUAAAGGGUGCGCAGGUUGUUUGAUAAGUCAGUGGUGAAAGUCUGUCGCUUAACGGUAGGAUUGCCAUUGAUACUGUUAGACUUGAAUAUGGAUGAGGUAGGCGGAAUGUGUAGCGUAGCGGUGAAAUGCAUAGAUAUUACACAGAACACCGAUUGCGAAGGCAGCUUACUAAUCCAUCAUUGACGCUGAGGCACGAAAGCGUGGGGAUCAAACAGGA
rnacentral:rRNA from 1 species